GACGAACGCUGGCGGCGUGCUUAACACAUGCAAGUCGAACGGAAAGGCCCUGCUUUUGUGGGGUGCUCGAGUGGCGAACGGGUGAGUAACACGUGAGUAACCUGCCCUUGACUUUGGGAUAACUUCAGGAAACUGGGGCUAAUACCGGAUAGGAGAUCCUGCUGCAUGGAGGGGGUUGGAAAGUUUCGGCGGUUGGGGAUGGACUUGCGGCUUAUCAGCUUGUUGGUGGGGUGGUGGCUUACCAAGGCUUUGACGGUUACCCGGCCGGAGAGGGUGACCGGCCCCAGUGGGAUGGGGGAGCGGCCCGGAGCCUACGGGGGGCAAGCGGGGGGAACUUGUUCCAACUGGGCCGAGGGCGGGAGCAAGACCCCCGGGUUGGGAAGGCCGGCUUUUGGGUUAUAAACGCCUUUGGCUUGUAACGAGGCGUGAGUGCGGUAAAUGGAGAAAAAGGCCCGGCUAACUUCCGG
rnacentral:rRNA from 1 species